UAGAAGAAAUUAAUCUCUANUACCUUCUGCUCAAUGUAAGAAUAAAUUGCCGCAGACUAAUAUCUGUGCUAAGGUAGCAUAAUCACUUGUCUACUAAUUAUAGACUCGAAUGAAUGAAAAAAUGAAAUUUUAACUGUCUCAUAAAGUAUACUAUAACUUUAUUUAAAGGUGAAAAAGCCUUUAUUGAAACACAAGACAAGAAGACCCUAAAAACUUAAAUUAAUACCAUAAAGUAACUGCUAUAAAAUUUAGUUGGGGCGACUUAUAUUCAAAAAUCAAUCUAUAAUAAAAGGCCUACUAACCAAAUCAACUAAUAAGACCUAUAGGCAUAACAUAAGAAUCAAGCUACUUUAGGGAUAACAGACUAAUUUUCUUCAAAAGUCCAUAUUUAAAAAAAAGAUUAGCACCUCGAUGUUGGCUUAUAUUUAAAAUUCCAGAGCAAAAACCGGAACUUAGGUUUGUUCAACCUAUAAUCUAUU
rnacentral:rRNA from 1 species